CAAGGGUUCGGAACGGCAGCGCGAGAGAGCUUGCUCUCUUGGCGGCGAGUGGCACACGGGUGAGUAGUAUAUCGGAACGUGCCCUGUAGCGGGGGAUAACUACUCGAAAGAGUGGCUAAUACCGCAUACGCCCUACAGGGGAAAGGGGGGGAUCGCGGGACCUCUCACUAUUGGAGCGGCCGAUGUCGGAUUAUCUAGUUGGUGGGGUAAAGGCUCCCCAAGGCAACGAUCCGUAGCUGGUUUGAGAGGACGACCACCCACACUGGGACUGACACACGGCCCACACUCCUACGGGAGGCAGCAGUGGGGAAUUUUGGACAAUGGGGGAAACCCUGAUCCACCCGUCCCGCGUGUAUGAUGAAGGCCUUCGGGUUGUAAAGUACUUUUGGCAGAGAAAAAAAGGUAUCCCCUAAUACGGGAUACUGCUGACGGUAUCUGCAGAAUAAGCACCGGCUAACUACGUGCCAGCAGCCGCGGUAAUACAUAGGGUGCAAGCGUUAAUCGGAAUUACUGGGCGUAAAGCGUGUGUAGGCGGUUCGGAAAGAAAGAUGUGAUAUCCCAGGGCUCACCCUUGGAACUGCUUUUUUAACUGCCGAGCUAGAGUAUGUCAGAGGGGGGGUAGAAUUCCACGUGUAGCAGUGAAAUGCGUAGAUAUGUGGAGGAAUACCGAUGGCGAGCGCACCCCCCUGGGAUAAUACUGACGCUCAGACACGAGAGCGUGGGAGAGCACACAGAGAUUAUAUACCGUGGUAGUCCACGCUCUAAACGAUGUCAACUAGCUGUUGGGGCCCGUUUAGACUGUAUUAGCGCAGCUACGCGUGAAGUUGACCGCCUGGGGAGUACGGUCGCAAGAUUAAAACUCAAGGAAUUGACGGGGACCCGCACAGCGGUGGAUGAUGUGGAUUAAUUCGAUGCCACGCGAAAACCUUACCUACUCCUUGACAUGUCUGGAAAUCCAAGAGAUUUUGCGCGUGCUUCCGGAAAACCCGGACACCAGGUGCUGCAUGGCUGUCCUCUUCCCUGUGCGAGAUAAUGUGCUUAACCCCACACAACCCCCUCUUUGCUAUUGGUCGCACCUAGACCUUCAAUACGAAACUGGCCUGUGAU
rnacentral:rRNA from 1 species